GGGGAAGGGUAGCUUGCUACCUGACCUAGCGGCGGACGGGUGAGUAAUGCUUAGGAAUCUGCCUAUUAGUGGGGGACAACAUUCCGAAAGGAAUGCUAAUACCGCAUACGCCCUACGGGGGAAAGCAGGGGAUCUUCGGACCUUGCGCUAAUAGAUGAGCCUAAGUCAGAUUAGCUAGUUGGUGGGGUAAAGGCCUACCAAGGCGACGAUCUGUAGCGGGUCUGAGAGGAUGAUCCGCCACACUGGGACUGAGACACGGCCCAGACUCCUACGGGAGGCAGCAGUGGGGAAUAUUGGACAAUGGGCGAAAGCCUGAUCCAGCCAUGCCGCGUGUGUGAAGAAGGCCUUUUGGUUGUAAAGCACUUUAAGCGAGGAGGAGGCUACUGAGAUUAAUACUCUUGGAUAGUGGACGUUACUCGCAGAAUAAGCACCGGCUAACUCUGUACCAGCAGCCGCGGUAAUACAGAGGGUGCGAGCGUUAAUCGGAUUUACUGGGCGUA
rnacentral:rRNA from 1 species